rnacentral:rRNA from 1 species
AUUGAACGCUGGCGGCAGGCUUAACACAUGCAAGUCGAGCGGAGAUGAGGUGCUUGCACCUUAUCUUAGCGGCGGACGGGUGAGUAAUGCUUAGGAAUCUGCCUAUUAGUGGGGGACAACAUUCCGAAAGGAAUGCUAAUACCGCAUACGCCCUACGGGGGAAAGCAGGGGAUCUUCGGACCUUGCGCUAAUAGAUGAGCCUAAGUCGGAUUAGCUAGUUGGUGGGGUAAAGGCCUACCAAGGCGACGAUCUGUAGCGGGUCUGAGAGGAUGAUCCGCCACACUGGGACUGAGACACGGCCCAGACUCCUACGGGAGGCAGCAGUGGGGAAUAUUGGACAAUGGGCGGAAGCCUGAUCCAGCCAUGCCGCGUGUGUGAAGAAGGCCUUUUGGUUGUAAAGCACUUUAAGCGAGGAGGAGGCUACCUGGAUUAAUACUCUAGGAUAGUGGACGUUACUCGCAGAAUAAGCACCGACUAACUCCGUGCCAGCAGCCGCGGUAAUAC